CUACGGGUGGCAGCAGUGGGGAAUCUUGGACAAUGGGCGCAAGCCUGAUCCAGCCAUGCCGCGUGAGUGAAGAAGGUCUUCGGAUUGUAAAGCUCUUUUACCAGGGACGAUAAUGACGGUACCUGGAGAAUAAGCCCCGGCAAACUUCGUGCCAGCAGCCGCGGUAAUACGAAGGGGGCUAGCGUUGUUCGGAAUUACUGGGCGUAAAGCGCACGUAGGCGGGUCGUUAAGUCAGGGGUGAAAUCCCGGAGCUCAACUCCGGAACUGCCUUUGAUACUGGCGAUCUUGAGAUCGGAAGAGGUGAGUGGAAUUCCCAGUGUAGAGGUGAAAUUCGUAGAUAUUGGGAAGAACACCAGUGGCGAAGGCGGCUCACUGGUCCGAUACUGACGCUGAGGUGCGAAAGCGUGGGGAGCAAACACGAUUAGAUACCCUGGUAGUC
rnacentral:rRNA from 1 species